CAUUAGAUAAUGUACCUGCAUGCUCUCCUUCAGGUAUAUGGACAUCGCCUUCUUCGGGUGGAGUGAAAUUCAAGUCUGGGAGCACCAUAUUGAUCUGAUUGCUGCUGGGUCUCUUCGUUCAGCUAGGUGCCAGUCGUCGACAGCCUGGGUGAGGAGUUGCUUGAGCCGGGCAAAUAAUCCGGAGGAGAUUGUUCUCCAAGAGCUCCAGGUUGAAGAAGUUUGAAGACACUCGGUGGAAAUUAUGUAGUUAUCAAAUUUGUAGACCUAGUAAUACUGUGAUUGUAUACACAUCUGCUUGUGAGAUGAUCUACAUUGACUAAUUUUGGGUGUUAUUUGAAGUAUAAUUACGUGCA